GUCGGGUGCGAGCAAAGUCAUGGCUAAGAUAGGGUCCAGGCCGAGGCAUGACAAAGGGGAAACUAGAGGGUGGCUGGAGGACUAAGAAGCCAGGAGGGGCAAAGCCUGAAUGUCAUGAGGCAGAUAAAAAGCAGUUUUACCAGGAGCGAUGGAAUAUAGAGGAUGACGAACAUGUUUUCUGGAAAUGCAAGGGGAUUGGAAGUUGAGAAACACGGGCUCAGAGCAGCGUGGGAUGCAGGAGGAGCUGACCCGUGCCUCUGAGAACAGGAAUGAGUAGAACUGAGCCUGGAUGCAGAUUAUGUCCUAAAAAAGGACAGUGGAAUUCCAUGAUGUGGCUGAAGCUUGGGUAUCUGAAUUAUCCUGUGGAGGAGAGCUAAAGCACCGGCCUGAGUUCCCCACCAAGACAGGAGCAAGAACAAACAUUCUAUUGUUGGAGCCCUUCCACACACUCUGGUCUACCUGUCAUGUUAAUCAGUCUACCCUAACUGAUAGAUUAUGAGAAAUACAGUGUGUGAAGUUAGUGAAAUCAGGGGGACAUGUAAAGUCAUCAGAACCCUGUGACAAAACAGAGAGACAGGAGAAGGGGAACUUCAGAAUGCUUACAAAAACAAGAGCUUGACCAAAGAGAGUCGAGGUUUCAGAAAUGCAAACUAUACAUGCAUCAUUACUGGUUAUGUUGGUAAUUGGUGCCCCGCUGAUAUUAUUAUAAUGAGAACAAUCCCAGAAAAUGAAGUAAACAGGUAUCAGAGGUCUAGCGUGCACUUGUUUUAGCUAGCUUUACUUGGAGAAAAAGUCUCGGGUGGAGUCUUGGUGGGGAGGGAUUUGUGCUGAGACAGAACAUGGGAUAAAACAGGAAAGAAGUUGAAGGAUGUAUAAAAAGGUUAAAUUGAGCGUGUCUGAGAUCUUCUUAGGAGUACUGAGGGCAUGUUUUGCAACAGAUUUUAUUUGUUCAAAGUCAGUGAAGAUAAUAAACCAUACAGUGCCAUGUCCACCUGGUCAUCAUGAUUGACGUUGCUGCCAGGAAUGAACCUUGGGCUAGAAAAUGGUGAUAUGUGUAAUUUGGCUCAGGAUUGUGGCGUUUGUGGCAGCUACGGCUUAGACAGUAAUCUGUGCGAACAGGAGAUCGGGCCCAUCGAGGGGUGGUAGAAGUAGAACAGGGAGUCAACAGUAUGUUUAACUGUAAACAAUUUAGCCACCCUCCUAUUCAAGGGCAUUUGUGUUCUCACUCUUUUGUUAGUACAAACCAUACUGCAGUGAACAACCCUGAACAUUAAUAUAUGUCUCUGCAUGGGACGUGUUUAUGAAGAAUGCAAAUUCUUAGACAUAAAUUGUGUUUGGCUAUUUUUUAUCUAGUCACUUUUUGCUAUUAUUUUUCUUAACCUCUCAAUAUUUUAAUAGUUUAAUAUUUUUCAUGGUUAAAAAAAUAAAAUAUGGAUUAGGAUCCUAUGGCAGCUGGUAACAGAAAAUCUACCUCAUAGUUAUUAAAAGAAGAAAAAAGGAGAUGUUAUUAUCUUAUAUAAAAGUCUCCUAGUGGGGUGCCUGGAUGGCUCAGUC